CAGUCGCCGCGGUAAUACGUAGGUGGCAAGCGUUGUCCGGAUUUAUUGGGCGUAAAGCGAGCGCAGGCGGUCAAUUAAGUCUGAUGUGAAAGCCCCCGGCUCAACCGGGGAGGGUCAUUGGAAACUGGGAAACUUGAGUGCAGAAGAGGAGGGUGGAAUUCCACGUGUAGUGGUGAAUUGCGUAGAGAUGUGGAGGAACACCAGUGGCGAAGGCGACUCUCUGGUCUGUAACUGACGCUGAGGAGCGAAAGCGUGGGGAGCGAACAGGAUUAGAUACCCCCGUAGUCCCUGUCUCUUAUAC
rnacentral:rRNA from 1 species